GACCCCUCCACCAACCAGUGUCCUGAAUCAUUCUCAUAAGAGCCCCAACCUUAGGUGAACUGAAGUGGUCCACCACAGAGGGAGGACCCGAUGGCUACCUCAUCCACGUUGCCACUGUUAAAGUUCGGACCAUGAAUCCUGCCCCGUCGCGCCUUCAGCGUCACAUAGGUCACACACACGGAGUUGACACUGGAGGAGAGGGCCUCCUUAAUCCUCAGGGCCAAGUGGAUAAAGUCCACGCAGCUCCUCUCCUCUCUAAGUUUAAGGUGGUGCUCAAGAGCCUUCGUUGCAGUGGGGAUGCCAAACUGCCAAAGAGGGAGGACCCGAUGGCUACCUCAUCCACGUUGCCACUGUUAAAGUUCGGACCAUGAAUCCUGCCCUGGUCGUGCCUGCUGUCCUGGUCGUGCAUGCUGCUCUGUCCGUCUGUCAUUUGUGAUAUUGCGUUGUGUAAAAAAGUUGGAUUUGAUUUGAUUUGAUGGUUGUGUUCUACUUUGAAAUAAAUGUUUGAAUUUGAA
rnacentral:lncRNA from 1 species